rnacentral:lncRNA from 1 species
GGUGAUUUUAACUUGGGACAUAUUGAUUGGUCAACAUCAAGCACAAUACCAGGCAAACCUGACAUACAACUUCACCAAAAUCUCUUAGAUAUAAUGAAUGACACAAACCUACACCAAGUUGUCAAUACACCAACAAGAAAUGACCGUAUACUAGAUCUCAUAAUGAUUAACAACCCAACAUACAUCAACAAAGUAACCACACUACCACCA